rnacentral:rRNA from 1 species
UACAGAGGUCCCAAGCGUUGUUCGGAUUCACUGGGCGUAAAGGGUGCGUAGGCGGUCGGGUAAGUCUGAUGUGAAAUCUCCAAGCUCAACUCUGAAACUGCACUCGAUACUGCUUUGCUUGAGGACUGGAGAGGAGAUUGGAAUUCACGGUGUAGCAGUGAAAUGCGUAGAUAUCGUGAGGAAGACCAGUGGCGAAGGCGGAUCUCUGGACAGUUCCUGACGCUGAGGCGCGAAGGCCAGGGGAGCAAACGGG